UUUCCGUAGGUGAACCUGCGGAAGGAUCAUUAAUGUAACCGGACCGUUCCUUUGCCGUAAAACGCACUGGAUUGGAAAGGGAGAUAUCAUACACCCUAUGUUUAUUUACUUUUGUUGCUUUGGUGGGCCGUCCUUUACGGCGUCGGCCUCGGCUGAUCGCGCCCGCCAGAGGACCCAAACCCUUUUAUUAGUGAUGUCUGAGUACUAUAUAAUAGUUAAAACUUUCAACAACGGAUCUCUUGGUUCUG
rnacentral:misc_RNA from 1 species